AUUAUUUUGGGGGGGAAUACAGUGAAACUUAUUUACAGCUAUUUGAUGUUAACCAAGUCUUAUGGAGUUAAGCAACGUGUGCGCGUUAUGUGGACUAAGGGCAUGAACACAGGAACCUUAAUGUUAAUAUCGAAAAAUAUGUGAGAGAAGUAUUUUUAGUGAUGCAAUUACCGAAAAGAUUCGAGGAAGAUCUGAGCUACUCUAGAAACUUUUCAAGGAACUACCUGUUCAAAAGAGUGAAAACGUGGACUGUAAAUCAAAAAGUUCAACUUAUUAUAUUAAGUGGAAGACAAACAUUAGGAAAAUAAAAAAAUAUUCUGGAUGUGAUAUCUGUAUUAUGAUGUGUGUAAAAAAGGAAAUACACAGGAAUUAUA